GACGAACGCUGGCGGCGUGCCUAAUACAUGCAAGUAGAACGCUGAAGGAGGAGCUUGCUCUUCUGGACGAGUUGCGAACGGGUGAGUAACGCGUAGGUAACCUGCCUGGUAGCGGGGGAUAACUAUUGGAAACGAUAGCUAAUACCGCAUAACAGUAGAUGUUGCAUGACAUUUGCUUAAAAGGUGCAAUUGCACCACUACCAGAUGGACCUGCGUUGUAUUAGCUAGUUGGUGGGGUAACGGCUCACCAAGGCGACGAUACAUAGCCGACCUGAGAGGGGGAUCGGCCACACUGGGACUGAGACACGGCCCAGACUCCUACGGGAGGCAGCAGUAGGGAAUCUUCGGCAAUGGACGGAAGUCUGACCGAGCAACGCCGCGUGAGGGAAGAAGGUUUUCGGAUCGUAAAGCUCUGUUGUAAGAGAAGAACGAGUGUGAGAGUGGAAAGUUCACACUGUGACGGUAUCUUACCAGAAAGGGACGGCUAACUACGUG
rnacentral:rRNA from 1 species